rnacentral:rRNA from 1 species
AGUUCGGAUUGCAGUCUGCAACUCGACUGCAUGAAGCUGGAAUCGCUAGUAAUCGCGAAUCAGAAUGUCGCGGUGAAUACGUUCCCGGGUCUUGUACACACCGCCCGUCACACCAUGGGAGUUGGAAGCGCCCGAAGUCUGUGACCUAACCGUGAGGGAGGAGCAGCCGAAGGUGAAGCCAGUGACUGGGGUGAAGUCGUAACAAGGUAUC